ACAAGCGUCUUCUUUAAUAACUCAAGGGACCCUAAUACGCCAUUCUUUAUAUUCAACUCCGGGUAAUGGAGAUAGUAUAUAUUUUUUUUUUCCCUCCCGGUGCAACUAUAAAAAGAGAUGAAGAAUUUCUAAAGAGUACUACCUCGGUUUUACUUCUUGUAUAUUUACUCUUUUUAUUUCAAAUUUUAAAAAAAACCAUACAAAAUUAAUCGUGCGGAUUAAUAAUCCAGGACUAUAAAACCGUGUUGUUUAUAUCGAGUCUCUUUUGGUAUAAGCGUCAAGUCCAUCGGAGAGAUCAUCAUUUUGUUCAUCUUAACGCCCUUUUGUGUAGGAAAUUGAGGGAAGCUUAGGCUUCUCAACAUUUUAAGACGCCUAUGCAAGGGCUGGUAGGACAGACAUGCUAUUCUUAUUUUGACGUAGAAAUAACGUAGUUAAGAUUGAAGAGGAAAGAGGUAUUCUAUAUACAAUAAAUAUCAGUGUCCGUACUUCAGAUCCCUGAAAAAGUUCAUCAUACCGGUAAAAACCACCAACAUUAAU
rnacentral:snoRNA from 1 species